rnacentral:rRNA from 1 species
AACGAACGCUGGCGGCAUGCCUAACACAUGCAAGUCGAACGAACCCUUCGGGGUUAGUGGCGCACGGGUGCGUAACGCGUGGGAAUCUGCCCUUUGCUUCGGAAUAACAGUUAGAAAUGACUGCUAAUACCGGAUAAUGUCUUCGGACCAAAGAUUUAUCGGCAAAGGAUGAGCCCGCGUAGGAUUAGCUAGUUGUGGGUAAAAGCUCACCAAGGCGACGAUCCUUAGCUGGUCUGAGAGGAUGAUCAGCCACACUGGGACUGAGACACGGCCCAGACUCCUACGGGAGGCAGCAGUGGGGAAUAUUGGACAAUGGGCGAAAGCCUGAUCCAGCAAUG